GUGGGGAAUAUUGCGCAAUGGACGAAAGUCUGACGCAGCGACGCCGCGUGAGGGACGAAGGUCUUCGGAUCGUAAACCUCUGUCAGAAGGGAAGAAGUGUAUGGGUAGUAACUGACCUGUACUUGACGGUACCUUCAGAGGAAGCACCGGCUAACUCCGUGCCAGCAGCCGCGGUAAUACGGAGGGUGCGAGCGUUAAUCGGAAUUACUGGGCGUAAAGCGUGCGUAGGCGGCUUUGUAAGUCAGUGGUGAAAUCCCACGGCUCAACCGUGGCGUUGCCGUUGAUACUGCAGAGCUGGAGUUCGGGGGAGGGUGGUGGAAUUCCAGGUGUAGGAGUGAAAUCCGUAGAGAUCUGGAGGAACAUCAGUGGCGAAGGCGACCACCUGGCCCGAUACUGACGCUGAGGUGCGAAAGCGUGGGUAGCAAACAGGAUUAGAUACCCUAGUAGUCC
rnacentral:rRNA from 1 species